GUGGGGAAUAUUGCACAAUGGGGGAAACCCUGAUGCAGCGACGCCGCGUGAGUGAAGAAGUAUUUCGGUACGUAAAGCUCUAUCAGCAAGGAAGAAAAUGACGGUACUUGACUAAGAAGCCCCGGCUAACUACGUGCCAGCAGCCGCGGUAAUACGUAGGGGGCAAGCGUUAUCCGGAUUUACUGGGUGUAAAGGGAGCGUAGACGGUAUGGUAAGUCAGAUGUGAGAGCCCGGGGCUCAACCCCGGGACUGCAUUUGAAACUAUCAGACUAGAGUGCAGGAGAGGUAAGUGGAAUUCCUAGUGUAGCGGUGAAAUGCGUAGAUAUUAGGAGGAACACCAGUGGCGAAGGCGGCUUACUGGACUGUAACUGACGUUGAGGCUCGAAAGCGUGGGGAGCAAACAGGAUUAGAUACCCGGGUAGUCC
rnacentral:rRNA from 1 species